GCAGUGUGACGCAUGAGACUGAGAAUAGGGCUUCAGUGUCAGAGAGACCUGGCACUGCCAUUUAUUUACCAUGCCACUCAGGCAGGUGUCUGGAGGCACAAAGCAGGUGCCCAAAACCAUUUUUGAAUGAAUAAAGACAUUUGACUCCUUUGAACUUUAGUUUUCUAAUGUGUAAAAUAGGAAUAAUGCCUAUGUGGCAGCAGGAACAUCAGUGAGGGACUAAUGGAAUAAUCUAGAUAAUUAAUGAUGGUGGCUUGGAUUCAGGUGGGGGCAUUAGAAAUAGAGAGAAGCAGAUUGAUUCAGGGUGUUUUCCAGAUGAAGUGCUCUCAGAACCUUCCAAUGAAUUAGAUAUGAGGAAGAAAAUAAAGAAAACGGGAAGAACUUGAUCUUGUUCUUAACCCUUAGUUCCAAGAAUCACUUACUGAUAUGAGAAAGACUGGGACAUAUGUUGCUGAGUAAAGCUAAUAGGUAAUCAGUUAGAUGUAAGAGUCUGGCAUUUAAAAGAGCUGGAUAUUUGCAAAUGUGAGACUUAUUUCCCUCUAAAUGAUAUUUAAAUGGGACAUGUAGAGCUACCUAGGAAGAGUAUAGAUUGGGAAGAGAAGGGGCCCUAGGUCAUAUCCCUGUGGACAUUCCAACGUUUCAGUGUCAUGAAGAAGCAAGAUGCAGCAAGAGUCAAAAGAAGAAACUGAGAUUGAGUAACUAUGAAGGCAUGGCCACAGCAAGUGAUAGAAAAAUCAGGAGAGAGUGCUAUCGCAGAAGCCAAUGAGAAAGAGUGUUUCAAGAGGGAAUGAUGUCCACCUGCAUCAAAUACUGCUCAGAAAUCAGUUGCUGUUGAAUAUGGGUAAUCUACAUCCUGUUGCCUGAAGCUUGAAGUUCUCAUCUGCCCCCUCUCAGUAUGUACUUGUGAAAGAUGCAGACCUCAUCUGAGUUGAAGUAACCUAGGAGACCAAAAUAAAUGAUUCCUGCAGAAAGCUUGAGUGACAUUUUCAGAGCUGCAAUCCCUGCUUCUUCUUAAAAUGGCUAUAUACAUUGUAGGUUGGGAGGGUCAGAAGGCUGAUCACGGAAAUAUCUCGGAGGUAGAGUGGUGUGUGGGAGUAGGCAAUGAGAGAGGUAAGAGGACAAAAUGUAGAGAAGGAAGCAGAAUGGGCUAUCACCUUCUUUUGUUUCUUCCCACUGUAUGUGCCCCCAAGGAAGCCCCUCAGCUGCUCCCUUCCUUGCCCCCAUGACCCACAGACGGUGGUUGAACCACAGCUCUCUCUUUCUGAUAACACCCUUUGGUGUGAAACAAGUAAGACUCCAGAUUCCUGUUUGCUCUAAAAAUCCUGAAUGGCCUUCUGUAAUCAUUACAUUUUAUUACUCUCAUUUGAUUGUUUUGUUUUUUUUUUCCCCGUUAGAUAUUUUCUAACUGCUCUUCUGCAGACAGGACACUCGCAAAUGAACACAGCAAGCACACAGGCAUCUGUGUCUCUAUUCAGAAGUAUCACAAGUGAAAGGAUGAUGCCCAUUGCCUGGGGCCCUUUUUAUUCCACUUAGCCUGACUACUGAACUGGCAAGUGCAGGAAAGGAAGAGAGGUGGAACCUGUAUUUAUUAAAUACCUGCCAUGCACCAUACCCAACAGAUGAGAAAACUGAGAUUCAGAGACAUGAAGUCAUCUGCUCAAGGCCUCUAGCCAGCCUGACUCAAAUGCAAGCAUCAUCCAGUCUGCAGCCGCACAUUUCUAAAGCCUUUAUAAUUCACAGCCUCUCGUUUUGCAGAGACUCUCUCUGCCUGGCCUAUUUGUUCCAGCUUCAUGGCAGCUUUAUUUAGGUGAUAAUAGAAGAAUCCUGCUGCUUUAUGAGGUGAUAAUCCAAGCCUUAUGUGGAUAACUAUUCUUUUAGGUUGAGUGGUUUAUCCCUUUGAUAAAAAGAGGUAGAUUAUUGUUCCGAAAACCCAAAGUCUUCCUUUCAUUCUUGCAUUAGAUAAAGAAACUUACAUAUUUACUUUUAGCAGAGGCCUCAAAGGGAACCCCAAGCUGAGAUGAGCAGACCCUCUGCCAGCAGAAGCCAG
rnacentral:lncRNA from 1 species